GACGAACGCUGGCGGCGUGCUUAACACAUGCAAGUCGAACGGAAAGGCCCUGCUUUUGUGGGGUGCUCGAGUGGCGAACGGGUGAGUAACACGUGAGUAACCUGCCCUUGACUUUGGGAUAACUUCAGGAAACUGGGGCUAAUACCGGAUAGGAGCUCCUGCUGCAUGGUGGGGGUUGGAAAGUUUCGGCGGUUGGGGAUGGACUCGCGGCUUAUCAGCUUGUUGGUGGGGUAGUGGCUUACCAAGGCUUUGACGGGUAGCCGGCCUGAGAGGGUGACCGGCCACAUUGGGACUGAGAUACGGCCCAGACUCCUACGGGGGGCAGCGGUGGGGAAUAUUGCACAAUGGGCGGAAGCCUGAUGCAGCAACGCCGCGUGCGGGAUGACGGCCUUCGGUUGUAAACCGCUUUCGCCUGUGACGAAGCGUGAGUGACGGUAAUGGGUAAAGAAGCACCGGCUAACUACGUG
rnacentral:rRNA from 1 species